UAAUACGUAGGUGGCAAGCGUUGUCCGGAAUUAUUGGGCGUAAAGCGCGCGCAGGCGGUCCUUUAAGUCUGAUGUGAAAGCCCACGGCUCAACCGUGGAGGGUCAUUGGAAACUGGGGGACUUGAGUGCAGAAGAGGAAAGUGGAAUUCCAAGUGUAGCGGUGAAAUGCGUAGAGAUUUGGAGGAACACCAGUGGCGAAGGCGACUUUCUGGUCUGUAACUGACGCUGAGGCGCGAAAGCGUGGGGAGCAAACAGG
rnacentral:rRNA from 1 species